GCUUUCAAAAGCAUCUACAGUGUAAUUCACCAAUAGCAUGUUGAUGAAGUAAUCCUCUUCUGCAUUGCAGGAUACCCAGUAUACCACUCUAUGUACGAUGAUUUUGUUUGGAUGGAAAAGUAUGGUGACCCAAUGUUCCACAGACAUCUUGCAGUGGCAAGCAUUUGGGGUCUCAUAGCUCUCCGUCUAGCUGAUGAGGAAUUUCUACCUUUCGAUUACCUCUCGUAUGCAUCUGAACUUCAGAAAAGUGCAAAGGAUUUGGAAGAUGAGCUCU